UACGUAGGGGGCGAGCGUUGUCCGGAUUUACUGGGCGUAAAGCGCGUGUAGGCGGCGGCUUAAGUCGGGGGUGAAAGCCCGGGGCUCAACCCCGGGAUGCCGCCCGAGACUGGGUCGCUUGAGGUCGGAAGAGGGGAGUGGAAUUCCAGGUGUAGCGGUGAAAUGCGUAGAGAUCUGGAGGAACACCCGUGGCGAAGGCGGCUCCCUGGUCCGAUUCUGACGCUGAGACGCGAAAGCGCGGGGAGCGAACGGG
rnacentral:rRNA from 1 species